rnacentral:rRNA from 1 species
GCGGCGUGCUUACACAUGCAAGUCGAACGGUAAGGCCUUCGGGGUACACGAGUGGCGAACGGGUGAGUAACACGUGGGUGAUCUGCCCUGCACUUCGGGAUAAGCCCGGGAAACUGGGUCUAAUACCGGGAUAGGACUGCGCGGUGCAUGCCGUGUGGUGGAAAGAUUCAUCGGUGCAGGAUGGGCCCGCGGCCUAUCAGCUUGUUGGUGGGGUAAUGGCCUACCAAGGCGACGACGGGUAGCCGGCCUGAGAGGGCGACCGGCCACACUGGGACUGAGACACGGCCCAGACUCCUACGGGAGGCAGCAGUGGGGAAUAUUGCACAAUGGGCGCAAGCCUGAUGCAGCGACGCCGCGUGAGGGAUGACGGCCUUCGGGUUGUAAACCUCUUUCAGCAGGGACGAAGCGUGAGUGACGGUACCUGCAGAAGAAGCACCGGCCAACUACGUGCCAGCAGCCGCGGUAAUACGUAGGGUGCAAGCGUUGUCCGGAAUUACUGGGCGUAAAGAGCUCGUAGGCGGUUUGUCGCGUCGUCUGUGAAAACCAGCAGCUCAACUGUUGGCUUGCAGGCGAUACGGGCAGACUUGAGUAUUUCAGGGGAGACUGGAAUUCCUGGUGUAGCGGUGAAAUGCGCAGAUAUCAGGAGGAACACCGGUGGCGAAGGCGGGUCUCUGGGAAAUAACUGACGCUGAGGAGCGAAAGCGUGGGUAGCGAACAGGAUUAGAUACCCUGGUAGUCCACGCCGUAAACGGUGGGCGCUAGGUGUGGGUUUCCUUCCACGGGAUCCGUGCCGUAGCUAACGCAUAAGCGCCCCGCCUGG